AGUCGAGCGGCACGACACAUUGAACCUUCGGGGGAUUUGUUGGGCGGCGAGCGGCGGACGGGUGAGUAAUGCCUGGGAAAUUGCCCUGAUGUGGGGGAUAACCAUUGGAAACGAUGGCUAAUACCGCAUGAUAGCUUCGGCUCAAAGAGGGGGACCUUCGGGCCUCUCGCGUCAGGAUAUGCCCAGGUGGGAUUAGCUAGUUGGUGAGGUAAGGGCUCACCAAGGCGACGAUCCCUAGCUGGUCUGAGAGGAUGAUCAGCCACACUGGAACUGAGACACGGUCCAGACUCCUACGGGAGGCAGCAGUGGGGAAUAUUGCACAAUGGGCGCAAGCCUGAUGCAGCCAUGCCGCGUGUAUGAAGAAGGCCUUCGGGUUGUAAAGUACUUUCAGCAGUGAGGAAGAAGGUAUCGUUAAUAGCGGUAUCUUUUGACGUUAGCUGCAGAAGAAGCACCGGCUAACUCCGUGCCAGCAGCCGCGGUAAUACGGAGGGUGCGAGCGUUAAUCGGAAUUACUGGGCGUAAAGCGCAUGCAGGUGGUUUGUUAAGUCAGAUGUGAAAGCCCGGGGCUCAACCUCGGAAUUGCAUUUGAAACUGGCAGGCUAGAGUACUGUAGAGGGGGGUAGAAUUUCAG
rnacentral:rRNA from 1 species